UGACGUUGGGAAAGCGAGCGGCGGAUGGGUGAGUAACACGUGGGGAACCUGCCCCUAAGUCUGGGAUACCAUUUGGAAACAGGUGCUAAUACCGGAUAAUAAAGCAGAUCGCAUGAUCAGCUUUUGAAAGGCGGCGUAAGCUGUCGCUAAGGGAUGGCCCCGCGGUGCAUUAGCUAGUUGGUAAGGUAACGGCUUACCAAGGCGACGAUGCAUAGCCGAGUUGAGAGACUGAUCGGCCACAUUGGGACUGAGACACGGCCCAAACUCCUACGGGAGGCAGCAGUAGGGAAUCUUCCACAAUGGACGCAAGUCUGAUGGAGCAACGCCGCGUGAGUGAAGAAGGUUUUCGGAUCGUAAAGCUCUGUUGUUGGUGAAGAAGGAUAGAGGUAGUAACUGGCCUUUAUUUGACGGUAAUCAACCAGAAAGUCACGGCUAACUACGUGCCAGCAGCCGCGGUAAUACGUAGGUGGCAAGCGUUGUCCGGAUUUAUUGGGCGUAAAGCGAGCGCAGGCGGAAAAAUAAGUCUAAUGUGAAAGCCCUCGGCUUAACCGAGGAACUGCAUCGGAAACUGUUUUUCUUGAGUGCAGAAGAGGAGAGUGGAACUCCAUGUGUAGCGGUGGAAUGCGUAGAUAUAUGGAAGAACACCAGUGGCGAAGGCGGCUCUCUGGUCUGCAACUGACGCUGAGGCUCGAAAGCAUGGGUAGCGAACAGGAUUAGAUACCCUGGUAGUCCAUGCCGUAAACGAUGAGUGCUAAGUGUUGGGGAGGUUUCCGCCUCUCAGUGCUGCAGCUAACGCAUUAAGCACUCCCGCCUGGGGGAGUACGACC
rnacentral:rRNA from 1 species